UGCUACGGCCAUCCCACCCUGGUAACGCCCGAUCUCGUCUGAUCUCGGAAGCUAAGCAGGGUCGGGGCCUGGUGAGUACUUGGAUGGGAGACCUCCUGGGAAUACCGGGUGCUGUAGGCU
ensembl:rRNA 5S_rRNA 5S ribosomal RNA